rnacentral:rRNA from 1 species
CCUACGGGAGGCAGCAGUAGGGAAUCUUGCGCAAUGGGCGAAAGCCUGACGCAGCCAUGCCGCGUGAAUGAUGAAGGUCUUAGGAUUGUAAAAUUCUUUCAGCGGGGACGAUAAUGACGGUACCCGCAGAAGAAGCGGCGGCUAACUUCGUGCCAGCAGCCGCGGUAAUA